GGGGUUGUACUGGUUUCGACGGGGGUUUAGAAAUUGUGGAAGCCAUCUGUGGACUAGGACCACAUAAAAACUUAGAAUUAAAUAUAAACGCAGACGAAAAUUUAGCGUACGCUGCCUAGUGGCAGCUGUCGACCUUAAGCUUCUUGCGGCUUAAGACCUCGGCAUCAAAUUAGCAAGGCACUUUAUUUUCAAAGCUUUGAGGAAAUAAAAGAACUUAUGAAGCUACUGAAAUCUUAAGCCUGUCAUUAGGCGUAAGAUAGAGGGAAUGUCAAAAUAAUGACUGUGAUGGGAGAUGCCGCAAUGGAUGGGCUUUCGGACAGGGGUUCGAUUCCCCUCAGCUCCAUUG
rnacentral:tmRNA from 1 species